rnacentral:rRNA from 1 species
UAACCUGCCCAAGAGAUCGGGAUAACACCUGGAAACAGAUGCUAAUACCGGAUAACAACAGAUGAUGCCUAUCAACUGUUUAAAAGAUGGUUCUGCUAUCACUCUUGGAUGGACCUGCGGUGCAUUAGCUAGUUGGUAGGGUAACGGCCUACCAAGGCGAUGAUGCAUAGCCGAGUUGAGAUACUGAUCGGCCACAUUGGGACUGAGACACGGCCCAAACUCCUACGGGAGGCAGCAGUU